AAAGAAAAGAAUAGUGCCUUAAUUAUAUAAAAAUAACAAUACAAAGAAGCAAUGACAGGUUAAACUAUCAUUUGAGCCCAACAAAUUGUUUCUACAAAGCAUAAUUUUAAUAAAGGGAAUCCAUAUAUUUACAAAUUACUCGGACAGCCAGAUACAGGAAGGUCAAAAUAUUUACAAACUACUUGAAACAAGUUUUUCUUUAUUCAGGAUGCUCAACUUGCAGUGCACACCCAUUGAGAAUGCUAAAGAAAGAUCUAUCUCAAAAAGACUGAAAAUGAGAGCUUUGACACCCAUGACCUCCACCCUUAAGCAACUCAAAGUUAAACAAUCACAAUACUAUGUUAGGUACUCGGACGCAAAAAAAAUACAGAAAAAAAAAACAUUAAGGAUAACUAUAUUGCAAUAUCAGUAAAGAAAUUACAAUGUAAUAACAUUUUGAGAGGGCUAUCUCUCUCAAAGUCUCACAAAGGACACUACCCAAACUUUUCAUCUCCCAACGUCCUUAACACCCUCUAUUUAUAACAAAGCGCUCCUCGCUAAUUACCCUUAAACCCUUACUAAUAAUAUCAUACUAAUCUUACCAAUAUACCCCUAACUAAUAUUGCCACACUACCCCACCCUUCAAAAAAAUCUUGUGCUUGAAGUGUGCUUAUCAAAACACAAUAAAAAAAAUUGGGUAACGAUUGAAUAAUACUUUUUUUAACAACAAAAUCCCAUAAUCUAAUACCCAUCAGAAGUUGAAAUUGGAAAUAGUUGAUUAACACGUUCUUCGGAUGGUGGCAAGUGGUGGAGGUACAGGCGGUGGCAAAUGGUGUCAAUAGUCAUUGGCGUUUGCUUGCCCAGUUGUAAUUGAUUGGCAGCAUGGGUGAAGAGCAAACUACCGUGCAGUUAGGGUUAGUUACUUCUCAUGAGAAUGAUAUUACCAUAGCAGGUGGGUCCUGGGUUUAAAACAAAGAACAAUCUGAAUCGAAACCCAUCUUGUAAAAAAAAACUCUUGUUUUCUGACUUUGCAAGAAAAUGGGCCCCAUCUCCAUGGCUAAAAUCCAGCCCAUUAAAACAUAACUUACCCAACCCAUGAUUAAGAAGUCAACAGUUCCAACCCUUUCCAACACAUUUUGUUGUCACGUGAAUAAAGAUAGGGUUUUUCAACCCAACACCAACUUCCUGACAUUUAUUUUCUUCAGUUUCUAACCUAUCAUCAUGGACACUCACUAGCAAAUGAAUAUUGCCUCAUCGUCUUCGUAGGGACUUUUUCUUUGGCCACACCCAUGCUUGUCGCCAGUAGUGAUCUCCUUCAAUGGUUUCUUCAUGGUUGUCCCUCCCUAAUCUCUUCACCCUCUCUUCACGAAACUUGCAACAUUGUUUUCCCUGAAACUUCAUCUCCAACCAUAUGGGCGUUCGCCGUUUCUUCCACCCGCCACUAUGUUUUUCUGACCAUUUGACCACCAGAUAGUUCUUUAUCCAACAUUUCUCUGUCUGCACACUACCUUGCCUCUCUGACCACUGGUUCGUCAGUAGGUUCUCCCUUCUCUCCCGUUGUUGCUUUUUGACUCUGUCUUCACCCACAACUCCUUUUUCUUUGGCCACACACACGCUUGUCGCCUGUAGUGAUCUCCUUCAAUGUUUCCUUCAUGGUUGUCCCUCCCUAAUCUCUUCACCCUCUCUUCACGAAACUUGCAACAUUGUUUUCCCUGAAACUUCAUCUCCAACCAUAUCGGCGUUCGCCAUUUCUUCCACCCGCCACUAUGUUUUUCUGACCAUUUGACCACCGCAUAGUUCUUUAUCCAACAUUUCUUUGU